rnacentral:rRNA from 1 species
CCUACGGGUGGCAGCAGUGGUGAAUCUUGCACCAUGGGGGAAACCCUGAUGCAGCGACGCCGCGUGAGUGAAGAAGUAUCUCGGUACGUAACGCUCUAUCAGCAGGGAAGAAAAUGACGGUACCUGACUAAGAAGCCCCGGCUAACUACGUGCCCGCAGCCGCGGUAAUACGUAGGGGGCAAGCGUUAUCCGGAUUUACUGGGUGUAAAGGAAGCGUAGACGGCAGCACAAGUCUGGAGUGAAAUCCCGGGGCUUAACCCCGGAACUGCUUUGGAAACUGUGCGGCUGGAGUGCAGGAGGGGUAAGCGGAAUUCCUAGGGUAGCGGUGAAAUGCGUAGAUAUUAGGAGGAACACCGAUUGCGAAGGCAGCAUACCGGCGGCGAUCUGACGCUGAGGCACGAAAGCGCGGGUAUCGAACAGGAUUAGAUACCCCGGUAGUC